rnacentral:tRNA from 1 species
AGUAGCUCAAUUGGCAGAGUGGCGGUCUCCAAAACCGCAGGUUAUGGGUUCGAUUCCCUUCUGG